GACGAACGCUGGCGGCGUGCCUAAUACAUGCAAGUCGAGCGGACCUCUUCGGAGGUCAGCGGCGGACGGGUGAGUAACACGUGGGCAACCUGCCUGUAAGACUGGGAUAACACCGGGAAACCGGUGCUAAUACCGGACAAUCCUUCCCCUCUCAUGAGGGGAAGCUGAAAGACGGUUUCGGCUGUCACUUACAGAUGGGCCCGCGGCGCAUUAGCUAGUUGGUGGGGUAACGGCCCACCAAGGCGACGAUGCGUAGCCGACCUGAGUGGGUGAUCGGCCACACUGGGACUGAGACACGGCCCAGACUCCUACGGGGGGCAGCAGUAGGGAAUCUUCCGCAAUGGACGAAAGUCUGACGGAGCAACGCCGCGUGAGCGAAGAAGGCCUUCGGGUCGUAAAGCUCUGUUGUCAGGGAAGAACACGUACCGGAGUAACUGCCGGUACCUUGACGGUACCUGACCAGAAAGCCACGGCUAACUACGUGCCAGCAGCCGCCGUAAGAC
rnacentral:rRNA from 1 species